rnacentral:lncRNA from 1 species
UUCCUCCUUUAUGUCGCUUCAGUCAAGCGUUUGGUUACUGUGGUAAGAAAACCUAGUAAACAUUACUUAAGAAAAGGGGGGCCUUUUUGUUAAUGCAUUUGAAUUUUCUCUUUUCUAGUGUCCUGCCAUAGAUUAUACAAGACACACACUGGAUGGUGCUGCAUGUCUUCUGAAUAGCAAUAAAUAUUUUCCCAGCAGGGUUAGCAUAAAAGAAUCAUCUGUAGCAAAACUAGGAUCAGUGUGCCGUAGGAUUUACAGAAUAUUCUCACAUGCCUAUUUUCAUCACCGGCAGAUAUUUGAUGAAUAUGAAAAUGAAACAUUUUUAUGUCACCGGUUUACCAAAUUUGUGAUGAAAUAUAAUUUGAUGUCGAAGGAUAACCUGAUUGUACCAAUUUUAGAAGAGGAAGUUCAGAAUUCAGUUUCUGGGGAAAGUGAAGCAUGAAGGAAUCAUGUAGAACAAUGUACUGAUCACAUAAUUAACAAUUAUGUACUGUAUAUAUAUCAUUUUAGACACAUCAAUCAUGUAUCCAUAUUAUAGCUUAUUUGUUUAGUAUAGGUUUUUGUAUGCUAUGUGUUGCCUUUUUAAAUGGGAAAUACAUUUUAAGUUAUUCAUGAGCUGUAUAUUCACUGGUGUGGCACUCAUGGUUUUUAAAUAAGUUUAGUAUUAUCUGUUUAUAAUGCCUGU